CAAGCUAUGAUGAGAAGUUAACAUGUAAGAAGACUUCCCUUGUUGUGGAUCUUCAAUGAAAUUUACUUUGUUACGCUUGGCUUCUGAGCUUA